rnacentral:lncRNA from 1 species
GUUUCGCUGUCCUGUACCUGGAGCGGGCGGGGCAGCUGUCAGUGAAGCUCUACGGACCCCAGGAACCCUGUCUGCCCUGCAGCCCGCUCGCUCCCUGUGAGCGACUCGGUCCUGAGUGGGUUUGAGCAGCGGGUCCAGGAGGCCCACCUGACUGAGGACCAGAUCUUCUACUUCCCCAAGUACGGCUUCUGCGAGGCUGCAGACCAGUUCCACGUCCUGGACGAAGUGAGGAGGUGAGGCCGGCACACAGCUCCAGUGCUGAGAAGUCAGUGCCCCGAGAGACGACCCCACCAGUGGGGUGCCCGCUGCCUGUCCUCCGUGAAACCAGCCUCAGAUCAGGGCCCUGCCACCCAGGGCAGGGGAUCUUCUGCCGGCUGCCCCAGAGGACAGUGGGUGGAGUGGUACCUACUUAUUAAAUGUCUCAGACCCC